GAUGAAGAACGCAGCGAAAUGCGAUAAGUAAUGUGAAUUGCAGAAUUCAGUGAAUCAUCGAAUCUUUGAACGCACAUUGCGCCCGCCAGCAUUCUGGCGGGCAUGCCUGUUCGAGCGUCAUUUCAACCCUCGAGCCCCCCCGGGGGCCUCGGUGUUGGGGGACGGCACACCAGCCGCCCCCGAAAUGCAGUGGCGACCCCGCCGCAGCCUCCCCUGCGUAGCAGCACACACCUCGCACCGGAGCGCGGAGGCGGUCACGCCGUAAAACGCCCAACUUUCUUAGAGUUGACCUCGGAUCAGGUAGGAAUACCCGCUGAACUUAAGCAUAUCAAUAAGCGGAGGA
rnacentral:misc_RNA from 1 species